UUUGUUUUUCUUGAUUAAAUCAUUUGAAGUAGGUAGAACCACUUCCAAUCUGAAUCUUUGAGGUGGGAAUAUGCAUCUUUAAUCUGGGCCACACCUUCUGUGGGGAGGGUGACAGAUUAUAUAAAGGACAUUCUUGCUUAAUCUCACUCUUGCUUCUCAGUCCAUUCCUUUAUUGGCAUUAGAGCCUCCUUCUUCAGGAAUCCAGGAUAUAUUGAAUCUUAGCUGAGACAUCCAGCCCUGUGGACUGAAAAACUACUGGAUUCUUGGACAGCCAUUGUUGACCAGUUAUAGCACAGCCUGGUAAAAUUAGGAGCUGGGAGACCAUAUGUCUGUCUACAUGGUGAACCUGCUUUCCUGCCUAGUGACAGCUACCUCCUUCUGCUUGGUGUGCUGACUUUGUCUGAGCAGCAGUGUCCAGGACAAGCAUGCCAUUUUACCAGUGUUCUUCAAUCUCCUGUUCUUCAUCAGAGCUUUGUACUCUAUGCGCAAGAAUUCUUCCUGAAAUUUGGAGUCAAGCAGCCUUGCUGCAGCCCAGGUCUAUGCUUCUAAGUCUCCCAGAACUUGUACUCUGUCCACUCUCAAGUUUGUCUUCUCCUCUUUCACUGGUUGUAUGACACCUUGUCAUGGUCCUCACACAAUAUGACAACAGGUAAGCAACAGUUUAUCAUCUGGAACACUAUAUAAAGGCUGUACCCAAGGUCUUCUGAGUCCGAAUCUUACUUUACCCAGACCCCAGGAAAUCUGAUGCUUGAAAGCAGCUGAAAACAUGAAUGAGUUAAAAGUGAGGUGGCAAAACUUGCUCCCUUAAUUUCAGGCUUCCAUGAUGGGUCUUUAAACUCUGUGCUAUU